rnacentral:sRNA from 2 species
GCCAUUACGAAAUAUGGGCCCUACCAGCAGCAGCUUGCCCAAGUACCCAUAAACUAGGAGGCCGGUAUCUCAGUCCCGAUAAUAUGCUCCAAAGGGUUUCAAUGCCGGCAAGGAGUCUUGAAUUAUAAUGGGUAUACCGCGUAUCUUCCGUUACGCUAGGGCAUGCCACUCAACCGAACAUCGGAACGAUGUUCCUGCGGCUCUCGAAACGAGCCUCUACUAUGGCUAUGCCCAAUCGCAAUCGAUAGCGUGGCUCGUUAUUGGGCUGGAAAUGAGAGU